UUACGGCCAUAUCCUGUUGAGACACAAGUUCUCAUUCAGUCACUGAAGUUAAGCCUGGUUACUACCUAGAUGGGUGACCACUUGGGAAUACCAGGUGCUGUAAG